rnacentral:RNase_P_RNA from 1 species
GGUUGGCCAGGCGAUCGCGUCGCUACUUCGGUAGUGCCGAGGAACGUCCGGGCUCCUCAGAGCAGGAUGGUGGGUAACGCCCACCCGGAGUAAUCCGCGAGAUAGUGCCACAGAAAACAGACCGCCCGGUUUUCCGGGUAAGGGUGAAACGGUGGUGUAAGAGACCACCAGGGGUUUAGGUGACUAAGCCUGCUAGGUAAACCUCAUCCGGAGCAAGGUCAAACAGACACCCAUCAGGUUGCUCGCCUGAGUGUCGGGUAGGCCGCUAGAGAGAACUGGCAACAGUUAUCCGAGACAGAUGAUCGUCACCGAAGUUCGCUUCGGGACAGAACCCGGCGUAUCGGCCGACCCU